AGUGAACGCUGGCGGUAGGCCUAACACAUGCAAGUCGAACGGCAGCACAGUAAGAGCUUGCUCUUACGGGUGGCGAGUGGCGGACGGGUGAGGAAUACAUCGGAAUCUACUUUUUCGUGGGGGAUAACGUAGGGAAACUUACGCUAAUACCGCAUACGACCUACGGGUGAAAGCAGGGGAUCUUCGGACCUUGCGCGAUUGAAUGAGCCGAUGUCGGAGUAGCUAGUUGGCGGGUUAAAGGCCCACCAAGGGGACGAUCCGUAGCUGGUCUGGGAGGAUGAGCAGGCAUGAUGGGGUUGAGAGCCGCACUGGGCUCGAGAGAGGGGCAAGAGUGGGAAGGAUGGGAGAAGGGGGGAAAGCCUCAUCCAGCGAUGACGCGUGAGUGAAGAAGGCCUUCGGGGUGUAAAGCCCUUUUGUGGGGAAAGAAGAGCAGCAGGUUGAUGCACCGCUAUUGUGGCGAUACCGAAAGGAUAAACACCGGCUAUCUUCG
rnacentral:rRNA from 1 species